UCAAGGCUGUGACACGAGUUUUGGUACUUAGAGCAACCAAUCGAUGUUGUUUCACAAAACUCUUGUCUCGGCACACGCUCUGUGAGGUUGUUCACAAUAUCAUUAUGCUAAGACGCUAUAAUAAGAUGUAAUCUCUAUCUUUUUGACUUGUAUUAUCACUGAAGAAGACCGUUAUUAAAGGUCGAAACGUUUGCCUGCUUGACAUUGAAGGCUUUCGUUAUUUAUUUGCACCCGACAUCCUGCGUGGCUCUUGAGCUCACUAUUCUUUAUUUUAUUUCUCUUUUUUUUCUUUACUUCCGAUCUUUUCCCUCGGUUUCACUCGAACUCCAUUCGAGUUAACCCGAGAGAU